rnacentral:snRNA from 1 species
GAAUGUGAGGACAAUCUGGUUGCAGUAUCUGUCAUCCCUGAUCACCAGAGUUGAUUUGGCUGAUCUGGGUGUCCCCAGCAUUCCUCAUUGCUCCAUAUGCUUCCCACCAGGUAUGCUCCAUAGAAGAGGAGGACCUUCCUCAAGUAGAGGAGGACAUGUCUUUGUUCAAAGAUAUACAAGUAGUUGGGCUCUCAUGCUAGAAUCUACAAAUAAGCUAUUAAAUUAAAAUUCUUAGAUUCCAAUGCAAGGCUACUACAUUUUAUUCUUAUCUUUCAAAUAAAUUUUAACAUUUUAUUU